UUUGUAAUUGAAAGGCUCUAGGCGAGGAGAGAACAUGUGGAGAGAAGUAGAGAUGAUUGAAAAAGAGUUUAUUGGGGUACACUCCCAGGGGCCACUCUGGUUGGGAUCAGAGAGAUCAUGCCUGGGCCUGGCUCAGGCAGGGUUUAUAUGGCAGGGGCAAAAGGUGGUUGGGGGGGCUGGGGAUAUGGCCUAGUGGCAAGAGUGCUUG